UGUCUGGGCUCUGAUGAAGCCGUUUAGCCGA
rnacentral:piRNA from 1 species